CACAAAGGGGAAGGGAUCAAAGGCAGUUCUGAGGUUCACUCUCUGAAGAAACUUAGGCAGAGACAUCCUGAUUCGUAGGAGACAAAGGCUUGGAGGACUGAUAAGCAGCACGGAAAUGCACAAGGAGCAGAGGAAGGGUGUGGUCCAUCCCGGACAGGCUGAGUCUCUUCAAGGUUAGGCACUUCGUCUGCCACUGAGGCCAGACAAGGCAGCCCAGCUAGAAGAACAUAUCCCACGGACAGGCAACAGCUUUUGGGAUAGCCCCUGCUCCAGUUGUUCAGGACUCAGAUGAAGACCAAGCUGCACACCUGCUACAUGUGCGGAGAAGCCUAGGCCCAGCCCGUGUAUGUUCUUUGGUUGGUGGUUCAGACUCUGAGAACCCCAAGGAUCCAGCUCUUAUGCUGAAGAUCGCCACCCAGUGGGGACACGGGAAAUUCCAGCCCAGGGUGCCCAGCUGUGACCUAAUGAGGAAGCCUGUGGAUGGUGACAGAAAGCUGGCUAACAUAAGAGUCACUGAAGACUUUCAUCUUUCCUCUAAUAAAAUGGAGUCAGACAUUGUGCUGGCUGGUUUUGAGGGUCAACUUGACUGACAAGAAGCUCAAGCCAGAGAGGAGGGAGCCUCAGUUGAGGAAAUGCCUCCAUGAGAUCCAGCUGUGAGACAUUUUCUCAUUAGUGAUCAACGAGGGAGCCUAAUAAGGAGAGUGCUGUCCCUGGUCUGGUGGUCCUGGGUUCUAUGAGAAAGAAAGCUGCUAAGCCAUGUUAAACAAGCCAGUUACCAGCACCCCUCCAUGCCCCCUGCACAGCUCCUGCCUGCAGGCUCCAGCCCUGCUUUAGUUCCUGUCCUGACUUCCUCCAAUGAUGGACCAUGAUCUGGAAGUGUAAGCUAAAUAAAGCCUUUCCUCCCCAA
rnacentral:lncRNA from 1 species